UUGCAAACAAGAUCACUAGCCCAGUAUUUUGUUGCUGAAGCAAGGGGAACAUGUCUGCUAAAAAAAAGUGAUUAUAGAAGUGUAUGAACAUACAUUUAUGCUUUGUGUCCAACUUCUAUAUCAUUACACUU